CAGGUACUGGUCAUAGCUCUUAAAUGGCCCAGAGUUGUAUAACUGAUAUAACAAUGAAGAUCGUAUUACUACAUAUUUGCAGUUCAAUGUUGAGUGUUUCUAGUUAUGCAAAGCUUCUUUGGGUCAUUAGACGUGAUCCGAGUGAUGAUCUUUAAUCUAUCUAACUCAUAUGUUCCACAGAUUCGCAAGUCACGCUCACCUGAUGGGCUUCUAGAAGCAAAUUGAGCCAGCCACCCUCGUUAUGAUAUGGGUUACAAGAGCAUCGAGUGUAGCGAAGCCUGAUCAGGUCCCCCACUCUGCCAGUGCAACGGUUUACCCAUGACCAUCUUCUUCAUCCACAUCACUCCAGCUCUCAAUUCUAGCUCCUUGUCACGCUGUACUUCCCCUGGCUGCCCACUCCGCCAUCCACCUGCUUACUCCUGAUCCUUCCUGGAUCCUUCUGUGCUCUGCGUCCUCCCACACCUCUGGAACCCCCCGCUGACAUACUCAGACCAAGACUGCCUCUCCCUUGUAGAUAUUCACCUGUAAGAAACCAUAAGCAAACAAACUAAAAUAAACAUCAAUUCCAUCUGC